AGUGAACGCUGGCGGUAGGCCUAACACAUGCAAGUCGAACGGCAGCACAGUAAGAGCUUGCUCUUACGGGUGGCGAGUGGCGGACGGGUGAGGAAUACAUCGGAAUCUACUUUUUCGUGGGGGAUAACGUAGGGAAACUUACGCUAAUACCGCAUACGACCUACGGGUGAAAGCAGUGGAUCUUCGGACCUUGCGCGAUUGAAUGAGCCGAUGUCGGAUUAGCUAGUUGGCGGGGUAAAGGCCCACCAAGGCGACGAUCCGUAGCUGGUCUGAGAGGAUGAUCAGCCACACUGGAACUGAGACACGGUCCAGACUCCUACGGGAGGCAGCAGUGGGGAAUAUUGGACAAUGGGCGCAAGCCUGAUCCAGCCAUACCGCGUGGGUGAAGAAGGCCUUCGGGUUGUAAAGCCCUGUUGUUGGGAAAGAAAAGCAGCAGGUUAAUACCCCGCUGUUCUGACGGUACCCAAAGAAUAAGCACCGGCUAACUUCGUG
rnacentral:rRNA from 1 species